rfam:Butyrivibrio crossotus CAG:259 genomic scaffold, scf83
UAUAUCGCGAGGUGGAAUCUGAAGGAAGCUGUAAGCAAAUCUCUGGUCCGACGAACAGAAAUCAUAUAUAAGGCUAGGCUAUGAGAGAUAAGUUGGCUAAAAGCAACAAAGCGGACGGC